rnacentral:misc_RNA from 1 species
GAAAUGCGAUAAGUAAUGUGAAUUGCAGAAUUCAGUGAAUCAUCGAAUCUUUGAACGCACCUUGCGCUCCUUGGUAUUCCUUGGAGCAUGCCUGUUUGAGUAUCAUGAAAUCUUCAAAGUAAAUCUUUUGUUAUCUCAAUUGGUUUCUACUUUGGUAUUGGAGGUCUUUGCAGCUUCACACCUGCUCCUCUUUGUUCAUUAGCUGGAUCUCAGUGUUAUGCUUAGUUCCACUCGGCGUGAUAAGUUAUCUAUCGCUGAGGACACUGUAAAAGGUGGCCAAGGUAAAUGCAGAUGAACCGCUUCUAAUAGUCCAUUGACUUGGACAAUACUUUUAUGAUCUGAUCUCAAAUCAGGUAGGACUACCCGCUGAACUUAAGC